UAGACAUCCACCUCACGUAUAUCGGUCC
rnacentral:sRNA from 1 species